UGGGGAAUCUUGGACAAUGGGGGCAACCCUGAUCCAGCCAUGCCGCGUGAGUGAUGAAGGCCUUAGGGUCGUAAAGCUCUUUCGCCUGUGAAGAUAAUGACGGUAGCAGGUAAAGAAACCCCGGCUAACUCCGUGCCAGCAGCCGCGGUAAUACGGAGGGGGUUAGCGUUGUUCGGAAUUACUGGGCGUAAAGCGCACGUAGGCGGACCAGAAAGUUGGGGGUGAAAUCCCGGGGGCUCAACCCCGGAACUGCCUCCAAAACUAUUGGUCUAGAGUUCGAGAGAGGUGAGUGGAAUUCCAAGUGUAGAGGUGAAAUUCGUAGAUAUUUGGAGGAACACCAGUGGCGAAGGCGGCUCACUGGCUCGAUACUGACGCUGAGGUGCGAAAGUGUGGGGAGCAAACAGGAUUAGAUACCCUGGUAGUCCACACCGUAAAACGAUGAAUGCCAGUCGUCGGGUAGCAUGCUAUUCGGUGACACACCUAACGGAUUAAGCAUUCCGCCUGGGGAGUACGGUCGCAAGAUUAAAACU
rnacentral:rRNA from 1 species